rnacentral:rRNA from 1 species
UACGUAGGGUGCGAGCGUUGUCCGGAAUUAUUGGGCGUAAAGGGCUCGUAGGCGGUCUGUUGCGUCGGGAGUGAAAACUCAGGGCUUAACCCUGAGCCUGCUUCCGAUACGGGCAGACUAGAGGUAUGCAGGGGAGAACGGAAUUCCUGGUGUAGCGGUGAAAUGCGCAGAUAUCAGGAGGAACACCGGUGGCGAAGGCGGUUCUCUGGGCAACAACUGACGCUGAGGAGCGAAAGCGUGGGGAGCGAACAGG